UAUCAAGCGCUUAGAACAGUGC
rnacentral:miRNA from 1 species